AGAACGAACGCUGGCGGCAUGCCUAAUACAUGCAAGUCGAACGAACACUUCGGAGUUAGUGGCGCACGGGUGCGUAACGCGUGGGAAUCUGCCCCUUGGUUCGGAAUAACAGUUGGAAACGACUGCUAAUACCGGAUGAUGACGAAAGUCCAAAGAUUUAUCGCCAAGGGAUGAGCCCGCGUAGGAUUAGCUAGUUGGUGAGGUAAAGGCUCACCAAGGCAACGAUCCUUAGCUGGUCUGAGAGGAUGAUCAGCCACACUGGGACUGAGACACGGCCCAGACCUACCUACGGGAGGCAGCAGUAGGGAAUAUUGGACAAGUGGGCGAAAGCCCUAGACUCCAGCCAAUCGCCGCGGUAGACGUGAGUGAAGGUCGUUAGGGUUGUAAAAGUCGUUACCUUUUAACCCGGAGUACGUAGAUUAAGUGAC
rnacentral:rRNA from 1 species